AGUGAACGCUGGCGGCAGGCCUAAUACAUGCAAGUCGAACGGCAGCACAGCAGAGCUUGCUCUGUGGGUGGCGAGUGGCGGACGGGUGAGGAAUACAUGGGAAUCUGCCCAGUCGUGGGGGAUAACGUAUGGAAACGUACGCUAAUACCGCAUGCGCCCUACGGGGGAAAGUCGGGGACCGCAAGGCCUGACGCGAUUGGAUGAGCCCAUGUUCGAUUAGCUAGUUGGCGGGGUAAAGGCCCACCAAGGCGACGAUCGAUAGCUGGUCUGAGAGGAUGAUCAGCCACACUGGAACUGAGACACGGUCCAGACUCCUACGGGAGGCAGCAGUAGGGAAUAUUGGACAAUGGGGGCGAACCCUGAUCCAGCCAUGCCGCGUGAGUGAAGAAGGCCCUCGGGUUGUAAAGCUCUUUUGUCCGGAAAGAAAGCAAUCGGUUAAUACCCGGUUGUUCUGACGGUACCGGAAGAAUAAGCACCGGCUAACUUCGUGCCAGC
rnacentral:rRNA from 1 species